UUUUUUCUACUUAGUUUGUGUUUACAGCUUCGCUGUAACCGGAGACUGAAUAUCACAUACUCUCGCCUGUUGGCGAGAAACGCGUACUAUAGCUAGCGUCUUUUGUACUGAAAUUCUACUAGAGACCUCUCCUUGCGGAUCAGUCGUUAAGGGGGUAAUUAUAUCUUUCUUCACGAAAUUACAGUAUAAGCUCAUUAGAAAUCUGUUUUGCACAACAUUUUUGCAAUAGCAGACGCUGACUUUAACUCACGUAGGCGCCAGCUAAGGCUCACUUGAGCUAAUGCUCUAUUUCUACCGCCGGCCUGCUACACUAGAACCUUGCUGAGCAACAAGCCGUUAGGAUCGGCUUAUAGUGGUUGCUAGGCCAAUUCAACUACCUUACUAGCGGAUAUAGAUUAAAGGUAGAUCCCCUGCCUUCCAAGCAAGCAAUACGGGUUCGAUCUCCAUUAUCCGUUCCAAUAAAGAGGCUCUUAAUAAUACAAUUAUACAAUAAUGCAACAAAAAAGACAGUUAAACUAUUUAUUAAAUAUAAAAUCAUCCUUUACAUGCGGAACAGCGUAACCUCGAACCUUGCUGAGCAACAAGCCGUU
rnacentral:lncRNA from 1 species